ACACAAAAAUCACAUAUAUCGGACAUACUUCUGAUCGAUUAUAGGGAGUAGUUAUCCAGUCCCCGGUCAAUUACAGGGCACAUAGGUAUAGACAAAGAAUGAACACCUACAGUAUGUAUAAUCCGCACAGUAAAUUCAUUUUGUAAUAGUAUACAUUUUUAAUUAUCAUUUGGAUGUAUUUGUUACCUUGGACUGAACUGAGGAAUCAUUGUAACAUAGCUGACAUGACCUUUUCAAGUAUGCAAAACUGAAUGCAUGAAACUAAUUACAUUUUCUUAGUUCAGUUGCCUGGUUCAUAGUGCAUAGUCAGCAUCCUCCUCAGAUGCAUGUGUGCCUUAGACCGUAUUAGAUCUGUGUGUAUGUGUGUGCGUGUAUGCGUUUACGAGAGAAUGUGCAUGCGUACGUUAAUUCCCAAAGCGGGGUUCUCAGUGAAAGCGUCUGUCAUGGGCAUCACUAAGGAGUACAAGGAGAGACAGUGAGCACGAGACUCAACAAGAUUAUGGUGAUCUUGCGGCCCACUGCAUCCUUGUUGUUGAAUGAUCCUCCAAUUUUUGUAUGCGCUAUCAGAGGGAGAGGAGCAAGGUGGACAGCAGAUGGAGGAAACCAAGUGGAUGAGGGGUAAGAGCGAGGGGUCACAGGGACCUGGAACCUAUCCCAGCUGACAUUGGGUUAAAGGAAAAUUCCACCCGAGACUGGUCACCAGUCAACCACAGGUCAAAUAUCAAGAAAGAAAACCAUUCACACAGUCACCGAAUGGGAACCGAGCCCACGCUGACUGCACGGAAGUCAAAAUACAGCACCAUUCGAAUUCGAUUCCAUGCUUUGUGUGGGGCAGCUCACCUUCCUGAGACCCUGAGACCCUCGUGACUCUACCACCCUCAUCACACGACGGAGUUGUUUGAACGUCACUUUAGAGGCCGAACCCUUUAGUGAGUGGAAAAGCAAUACUGACACCUACUGGCGAAACAUUCUAACGCAGCUUGAGUUCAAAAAGCCUGCACCAACAAUUGUGUGCUUUACUGAAAUGCUGCUGCCAAGAUGCUGCUAAGAUGCACCUUAUCAAGCUCUUGCAGAUAGGACAGCGCCGCAUCGCAGGCCCUGAGGAAACAGGAAAGACUCUCCUCCUCCCUCUCUAACAGACGGAUACGAGACACUGAUGAAAGUGCCUGGUGGUCCAGAGACAGGCCUGGAAUGCAUACAGACGCCACAGUCAGGAAUUUAAUCAGCAAAACAGAGUAAAACACAAACAUUAUCACUUGCUAAUCAUUCCUCCUGCAGCUUGAGCAUGCAAAUGGUUAAAUAAAGGUUAAAUAAAUCAAUUCAAUUCAAUUAACUCUGGAGCUCCAGGUGAGGAGCUGUCUGUAUGUGCACCUGGAUUGGGAUCAAUACGACGAGGCCGGCGUACAGUGUACUGGAUGGGAAAACCAGAGGAGAAGAAACUCACAUGGGCCGCGGGGAGAACAUUACACAUGGAAAGCCCCCAUUGCAUUAUUCGAACAUUGUGAUGUCGGGCAGCAGGCACACCAAAGAGUUACUGUGUAUUGAUGACAGAUGGAUGCAACGACUGAUGUAAAUUGGUACUGUAUGCCAGAAAUAAACUCCUGUUUUCUGUUUCCAAGCAUUUGAAACAGAAAACAGGUCCCACAGACCCGAACACCAUACAGGGCUUCUAUGGUGUUCGGGUAUGUGAGACCUGUUUUCAUUGUAAUGAAGAAAAAGGCAAUGUUCAAUAGGGCUGAGUCAUUGUCGAGACCGGGGGUGUCAAACCCAAAGUUUAAAACGGUAAUACCGUGACAGUUUAUCUGUAAACCGUAAACCAUUUUAACUCUUGUCAGUGGCAAGCUUCUGAGCCAGAAGGAGGUCUGACAUGGUCAGUAGCUUCGGGGAGGAAGCCAGGCCUAAUCAAAUAAGCAGAGUGCUGCAAAUAGACAUCAUCGCCAAAAUAUUCCAAGCCGACGUCAUUUCCACAACAGCAUGCAGGACUGUCAAAUCAACAGAAAGAAAGGAAUGGGUUAACUUUCUCCUGCAGCCUUUAACAUCGUCUACUGUAUAUUAGUCCGCCUUAAAACAAGGUAGAAGAUUUUCCAAGAAACCAAAAUGGCAUUCAAAUCUGCCAGUGACUGUGCCACAAUAAUAUUUCAACUGGCAGGAAGUCGCAUCCGCUCAUCAGGAAAUAUUGGG